UUGGCAAUAUCUGUACAGAAAAAUGUCAGAUGGACUAUAUGUGCACCCUGGUUCUGUUAAACAUGUUCACUUUGAACAGGACAACAGGGAAAGCAUGGUGAACAUCUAUGUGAGUACAGAAAGCCUGAAAGUGUUCGAUGCUCCCUGGGUGGAGGAUACAUCACCAAACUCUCCAGGACCUUCACAGGCUCAAUCCAUAGUCUCUUUUGUCAGUGAAACAUCUGUGAAGAGGAGUCCUUUCAGAUGGUACUGUGUUUUUCUGGGUGUGGUGUGUCUGGUUCUCUUGGUUGGAAUCGUCUACCUCGUAGUCUCAAAGACCCAGGACCAAAGCACCUGUGGACACAACACAAUAGAGCAAGAGAUAACUAACGUUUGCAGGAACCUGACUGUACUGACUAAUAUUAAAAAGGAACUCUACAAAACGAUAAAAGAACUAUGCAGCAGGCUUGACGGAUGCAUUGAAAAGGAAAGUUGCAACUUGGCUGGCAAUAAAGACACAAACCAGAACUGAGCAUCUAUUGCAAGUAGAACAGUGCCGGAACAUGAGACAUAUUUUACAUCAAUCCAAGAAAAUAUUCUAGAUUGUGAUUGAGGUUUGCUGGCUUUAAGACAAUUCGCUCCUUCACUGGUUACAAUUCCCACUUCACUUAUACCUCCAUGUUGUAUCUAAACAAAGCACUCAGUACCCAUGUGUUUGAUAAACUGACAAAAACAAAAACAGAAAUCCAUGAAAAAUCAAAGCCCCUGUAUGAAACCACCUGGUUUUAGACAUGUUUAUUGGAGUCACGUGACAACUUUUCUUACAGCAGAAAGCAGACAGCUUCUUGUCAUACCUGCAGAAGAAAGGCACCAAAAGGACCAGAAACUGCAAAAUUGUGAAGAAGUGAACUGUACAA